rnacentral:rRNA from 1 species
GAACCAGCAACGCCGCGUGCACGAUGAAGGCCUUCGGGUCGUAAGGUGCUUUUAGAGAGGAUGAGGAAGGACAGUACUUUCUGAAUAAGCCUCGGCUAACUACGUGCCAGCAGCCGCGGUAAAACGUAGGAGGCUAGCGUUAUCCGGAUUUACUGGGCGUAAAGCGCAUGCAGGUGGUUUUGUAAGUUGGAUGUGAAAGCUCCUGGCUUAACUGGGAGAGGUCGUUCAAAACUACAAGACUUGAGAUUGGUAGAGGAAAAUGGAAUUCCGGGUGUAGUGGUGAAAUGCGUAGAUAUCCUGAGGAACACCAGUGGCG